rnacentral:lncRNA from 1 species
CACAAGCACUGUAUAAAUAAAAGGAGCACAGACUACUAGUAGGAGUGAGAUAAAGCAAGCACAGAACAACAGAAGCAAAUUCUCAAAUGCUUUUCUAAGGUUUCCACUAGGACAGAAGGUGAAUAAUUCACUACAAUGAAUGGAACUAACUGCUCAUAUACAAAGGCUCAGCUGCUGUAGAUGAAUGGCAUCAACACACAGAGCUUCCUGAAUAGCGUUUGAGAUGCAAGACAUGAAA